CAGAGGUUUUGGGUCUGCUCUUGCUCACUUGCACAAAAAGUAAUGGUGCUGUGGGUCAGACAGGAACUGGGAUAGGAGAGACCUUCCCUGUGUUUCAGGCUCCUGCUCCAUGCUGCAUGGUUCAGUGCUCUCUUUAGCAGUUUCACUGCCUCGGCUCCCCAGCCCAAGCCCAUACAAGAAACUAACAGGAAAGAAACCACGUCAGCAGUCUCCCACCGGGCUUUAUUCCCUGCAGGCUCUGUGCAUCAAAGGGCAGGCAGCAAAAUGGAGCAACCCAGUGCUCAGUAGGAGCAAAAAUAAGGGAAGAGGGGGUGAUCUCUCAUUAUGGGAUCUGUGCUUAUUGCUGGGGACCUCCUGUCUCACCCCAAACAAGCGACGCCCAUGGAGCUGCUCUCGAUUUCAUGUCUUGAUAACCACCAGCAGUGCUGCCGAAAGCAGGCACUGAAAGGAUUGGAGGGAAGAGCACCAGGAGAGAAGUCUUAUUUACAGCAUUAGGAGGUGAGUCUUACUUACAGCUUGGAGAAUCUGCAUUUUAGAAUGAGGCACCUUACUUAAAACUCAGGAAAGACAAAGGGGCACCUUGCAGAAGGGAGGGUUGCCCAGGCAACUGGCACAGUAUCUGCAUCCCCACAUCGUGCAGCCCUGUGGUUUGCAAAUAUCCUCACUGCAUUGCUCUCCUGUACGCUCACCCCUCGUGCUUUGCUCCCGCUCACGGGUGUGACCUCCAUCCAGGUGAGCUCAUCCACGUCCUCUGUUUGGAGCUGUACCUAAGUUACAUCUGUGUGGUAGUAAGACCUGAGGACAGACGCUUACCUCUUUUUCCUGCUCUUUUUUUAUUUUUUUUUAACACCAUAAAAGAAAAACACACUCAUCUUACAGAGACGGGAACUCUCUUGACAGCAAAACAGCAUGAUGGAUGUGCCAGGGCAUCAUUUCAUCAGAAUAUCAAGCCGUGAGGUUGGCUACUGCCAUUCAUUCUUGUCAUUUGAAUCCUCUUGAUGUGUAAGAUGACAUUAAAAUCCCAAGAGAGAAAAAUGCUGCAGCUCUCCGCAUCGAAGCCCGGGACGGUGCGUUGCUGAAGGUGAGAUAAAACAGGCUGCUGGCCCCAGUGCCUGUCCCAGGCAAAGGGAAGGACAAUUCCCAGCUGCCAUGCACACAGGUACAAACUCUCACAGUGUUUACUUCUUGCAAUUUUCACAACCCUGCUCGUAGAGGAAAGUUGGGUUUAUUCUCUUUGUCUUGCUGGUGGAAAGGAGAUUUGCCUUCCUACGCCUGUUGCUGUUCUCUGACUUCUGUUAGCACCUCGAGCAGUGGGCUGCUGGCCAGAUUUCUAAAGGUGUUUAAGCAGAACAGCUGCAGCUGCGUACCUGGAGGGAUUUUUCAGAAGCAUCUCGCUGUAAUUGUUUAUGAUAUUCUGCACUCCCACCAUGAUCUCUCUGGUAGCAUCUCCAUUCCUGCCAGCACUGCAUUUUCUAUUGCAGAACGGAGGUGAAUUUUGCUUCUUUGCUUCUUUCUGGUCCCAGAACUCCAGGAAGCUGUACAAAGAGAGAACAAAACGGGCAAAAUCUGCUGUGGGUGGUGAAACCUGGGAAGGUUUAUUGUCUGUAUACAUAUAUAGAUGGGAUGCUGAGAAGGCACAUGCCUUCACUUACAGCACAAACCCAGUACAAACAGGGAGCUUUCAUAGAUGUGACCUUGCACUGAGGAACGUACAAAUAACUUCCCCAUCCCUUUGAAAAGCAAACUAUGCCCAAGCUGCAACACUGUGCCCAUGGCUUCUGAGCACCUGAAAGCUCUGUUAGAGCAGCAGUUGAAUCACCGAGAGCUUCCUCCUCAUUAUUGCCUCCAGCGAUACAGCAAAGUCAUAGCAAAUCCUGGGGGUCGUGGUUGUGUUGUUGUGAAGGACCAGGCCAAAAAAAAUACAGCACAUUCAGCACAGAUCUGCACGAAGCCCCGGGACGAGCUGCAGGUGCAGCCUGCACUCUUCGCACAGGGCGUGCAAUCUGCAUCCUGCACUGCCAUCUAUAGCGCAGCACCGCGCACAGCAAAAGCAAACCAGGACCCAACAAAGCCCGACCUGAGGCAGCAGGCUGUGAGCAGCUUCCAUGCAAUUAAUUAAAUGGGAAAAGUAGGGAGCCACAGCCAUGGGAUGGGAUGCGAUCGAGCCCAGGUUGGAUCACACCCACCCGCAUUCCUCUUUCCCUGCCCCUCGUCUGCUUUUGGUUUGCAACACAAUUUCAUCCUCUCCGAAUCAAUAGAGGAACGGCCAGCUUUCUCCAGGGGACAGCUCAAGAUACACCAAAUCAGAGGCGUGAAACCAAAACCCAUUUUGACUCUGAUGAGCAAAGGGAAUUUCUUUUAUUUUUUGAUUUUUAAGGCAGAUGUUGCUUUCAUGCUCUGAAAGCUCCGAAACAGCCGAGUGGAUUUUCUUCAAACUCUUCACACGCACAGAAAUUCACCUUUGGGCUGUGAACGAGCUGAAGAAAUUGCACUGCAAUGGAGAUUUUUACUGCAAUGGAGAUUUUUGUUCCUCCCUUUUUCCUUUUUUUUUUUUCCUUUUUUUUUUUUCUUUUUUCUUUUUGAUUUGGAAAGUUAAAAGGGUCCUAAAAUAGAAGCUGAGAAUUGGAUUAAACAUCCCUUUGUUAACUCCAGCCCCGCUCCAAGCCUGCAAUUAUCAUUUCUUAAGGUUCCCAUCCCUCUCACACUUCCAGCUGCCCCCAUUUUGCGUUAAAAUAACCAAAGAACGGCUCUUGCCAAUGCCACAUGAAGAAGGAGCUUCUGAGAUGGAGCAGGGACAGCCCAGGUCUGGCCCCAUUUCACAUCACUCCAGAACCAAUGAAGGAAAGGGGGGAUGGAGACAGCAGAAGCCUGAAAGCCCAGAGCAGCAGGACGCCCCAUCCCAACAGCAGCCUCACCCCCAUAUUCACUAACAGUUUGGGGAAAUGAGUAUCUAGCUCAGCACUGUUGGCACCACAUGGGAGUAUCAAGUAGGCUCCUCCAAAAAUAAUGCCUUUUAAUUAUUUCCAUAGUAACUCUGGCAGAUACAAAGAGCACAAUAACACUGUUGGAUAGAGCAAAUUCACAGCUACAAUAUAUACAUAUAUAUAUAUAGUUUUCUACUUAGUCAGCAGCAUUAGCUUUUACGUUUUCACCAGUAAUGAACAAAAGCCUGCAUGCUGCACUCAUCAACGUCUGUACCAGUGGAGGUGACCCACUGCCACCACAGCUGAAACGCACCGCCCACUGCCUCACUGUGCUCACAUCCACUGUUCAGUCUUCAUAAAUGUUCAGCAAGCAUUGAUGAAAGUCGAUGGGCAGCUGGUUUUCCACACGGAGGAAUCCAGUGACACACCUUUGCUUCAUAUGCACUUCCAUGCCAGACUGCCACUCUGCUGCCAUCUGUCUCACAGCAACAAAAUGUAAUGGAAUUCUGGUGGGAAGGUUCAACUUCUACUGCCAUCCCAUCAACAUCUGCCUCUGAUGUGGUGGGUCAACAUAAUAAAGCAGGAGGCAUUAUUUUUGGAGCAGCCUUUGUAGAAGCCUUGUGCUCUGAAGAAGUCUUCUCACUGACAAGAGAUGGACCAAAGCCUUCAGCUCCUCCACCAGUGACCCCCAUUGGUGCUAAUGGGACAUCUUCCAUCAGUGAGUAUCCCUGUGUGGAUGUGGGGCAGACGAAGCCUGGUGUUAGUAUGGGAGGACAGCGGGGCUUUGCAGGUAUCCAUGUGACAGAUUUCAGCCACCCAGAAGUUUGGAGAUGGAAGGAAAGCCAUCCGUAGCAUCCGGAAAUGAUUUGGUGAGAGCAGACGAGCUCUGUGCAGCCCGAUGUGCUCGGCAGCGUGGCUGUUGUAACAGGAAUUACAGUGCUAAAUCGAGCACUGGGAAACAACGCACACACUUGGCAUAGCCACAGGGCUGGCGUCUGGGCUGCAGGGGAGCAGAGCAGAGCACACAGGAGGAGGUGAACCAGCAGCACUUUAUCAUUUUAGCUAACGAAAUUAGCAGUAAACUUCACCUGUUUACACCUACAGUAAUUCCUCUUCUUGUUCUUGCGAGCCAAGUUCAAUUUUCUUUAUGUCCUCAUGUAUGUGUCUGUAAAUAGCCAAUUACUGCUGUUAGACCCUGCCAAUAAAUCGCGUGCUUUUAUUUGUUCCCCUUCCCUCCAAGCCAGGCGGCACUGAGCGCUGUGCAGCCUGCAGAGGGGCUGAGGCCACACAAAGCCCAGCACAAUUGAGCCCGGUACUAUGGAGCAUGGCCUCUCCUUGGGCGAGCAGCCCUUGGAAGACACAAGCAGCUGGAAUAAGGGUGAUUUCAUGAUCGUAAAAACUUCAUUUCGCUUUUAUUGCUGUAGAAAAGCUGCGGCUAGGUGCAUUUCUCAUGCAGCUGAUUAACCUGAGGUUAGAGCAGAUGUGCACGGCAGCAGCGUGCCUCAACCUUCUUCCACAAGCAAAUCAAAGGCAAAGCGUUGCCGGCACGGAGAGACAAAGAGAAAGGCCCGUGUGCUGCUCCCCACUCCCAACGUGCCUCCCGGUUGCCUAGCGAUCCUAACAAUAUUUUACGAGGCUUUAUUCCUGGGGCACGCUGUACUAAUGCUGAAUUUGAGCGAGGAGCUCCAGGAGAAGCAUGGAGGAGGCGGAGGUGCCGUCACACCGAUGGACUGCAGCCGGGCUGGGGGGAAACAUUAAACACCAAAUGGCGGUGAUGGGGGAUGAAGGCCGAGGGAUUCAUCCUGGCUGGGUUUGCAUCUGCACUCAGUGGGGCCAGGGCUCUUCCAGCAGUGGCUCCGGGAAGGCUGAUGCCCACAUCUCCUUCUGCCUUGGGCCACACCGAGAGCAAAGGCAGCAAAGGGCAGAAACCUGUGUCAGAUCACAUCCCCUCGCUUUCUUCCUCCUUAGCCCCAUUCUAACACAUUGUCUGGGCAUAAACGAGCCCCUGGGGUUCAGUUCCUUUUUUCAGAGUUCUUACUUUUGUCUUUCAGCCCAGCUAACACAAGCUUUGUUUGAGACACAACCUUCCCAUAGUGAUUACUUUUAACGGUGUCGUUCUUUUUCUUUUAAUCCUGGCUUUAAAAAGAAAAAGAGCACCCUUAAUUUUAUCAAAGAUUACUCUGUAACAGCAAUCUCUUGCUAACAUAAACCGAAUUAGAUUCAGUCAUUAAACUCUUACAUGAUUAUUAUUUUGCUGAUGAGGAAUGACCUUCGGUUACAUUCACCAACUACUUCAUUUCUGCAAAACAUGUAUUCAUAGCAGAACAAAAAUCAAUAGAAAUGUUUUCCUGCCUUCUCAUUUCUCUCCCUCUAUUUUUGGAGUGGUUUCUUUUUUGCUCUCAAUUUCCAGGGUGCAAACAAACAUGUCCCCUCCUGCCUGUAAAGCAAGCACAUUAGCAUGAGGGGUACCCGUAAGUGAAAAUUAUUGUAGACAAAAGUGAAAAGUAUUCCAUUGAUUUUUCCACUGGCCAAGAUGAAGGACAAGUAAAUUGGAUUUUUCAAAUCCUUUCGCUUUUCAUACUGUAAGGUACUAUUAGUAAU
ensembl:lncRNA